AAAAAAUGCAUGACAUAAGUUCACACCAAGUGAGCUGUGUGCUUUAUAUAAUGGUAUAAACGUAUAGAUAAUAAUAUAGCUAUUCACACCUCCCGUGAGUGUUUUAAUUUUCAAAAAGUGCUUUAAUUUUCAAAAAUACUCUUCACAUCCCAUAAGUGCUGCAUCCAUUAAUUAUUGAACAAUUUUCCUCAUUUAUCAAACUGCCCAAAAUAAUUAAAUAAUUUUCCCCAUUCAUCAAAUUACCCCUCAAUCAUCAAAGAAUUCAAAAUUUACAAUACAAAAUUACAAACACGUAGCAUUUACACCAGUCACUAGUUCAUACAUUACACAUGUAUGUAUUUUCAACACUUGGCAACACGCUUUCUACAUAAGCCUGUUCUGUCCCUCUUCCUCAGCUGCCUUGACAACUCAUCAUGUAUAUAUAUUCAUCCCUGCCUCCUCCCAAAACCCUCUGAAGCUCACAUGCAACAUCAACCAUGGAGUUGGUACCAGCGAGAAACAAUUUCAAGAGUGUGUUUGCACAUGAUGGACCUUCCUUCUACAAGAUUAUCAAAUGUUCAGCAAGGGUGGAGUUGAAACAGAGAGAGGGGACAAGUAUAAGAACUUAAUCGAGGGGAAUUGAAAGACUCGGGGUGCACAAAACGGUUUUUCCAGCAGGCCACUUGGAUCUUGUCCUAGGAACGGUUAUGGAAGUUGAUGAAAAUAUUUAAGUUCAUAUUUACUAAAAUACUCUCCCUCUAAGGUUAUGUUUGCUUCAAUGAUUUACGGAGGGAUUAAAAAAGAUAAAGGAAAAAUGUAGGUAAAGUAUGAAUAAAUUAUAUCAACUUUUCACUUAGUUUCAUACA